rnacentral:tRNA from 1 species
GGAGAGCUGCCGGAGCGGCUUAACGGGCCCGUCCUGAAAACGGGAGCAUCGAAAGGUGCCGCGCGUUCGAAUCGCGCGCUCUCCG